UAAAAUCCCCAGGCUUAUCAGUAAACACAGCAGUCAGGGAAUUAAAAAAAUUCCGUAUAUACACAACACAGAAAAGGACAGAGAGAGAGAGAGAGAGAGAGAGAAGAAGAGACAGUGAGAGAAUGAGAGAGGAAGAUGUGAAAGUGCAGAGCGGUACGUUCAUCCGGUGUGUCAACAAUUCCCAAGCCUUAACGCUUUGAUGUUGUUGCCUGGUCGUUGUCGAAGUUGGAGCUACAGCAGGAUCCAGUCGAUGAGGAGGAGAAAGGAGCGAGAGAGAGCAGUAGAGAGAGCGAGACGUGAAACGGUAGACAGACGGAGCCACUAAGCCAGACAGUGUCACCACUCGGGUGUUGAUGGCAAUGUUGUUGAUGGCAUCAUUAACGCAUUUUCACAGCCGCCUUUGGGCAUGCCAGACGACGUCGACCGUCAGUGCUCGACCCGUUUCCGGCUUUUGAAGUUCGGUACACAGCCUGCUACCAACACCAUCAUCAGGAACAACAGCAACAACAUCAAUACACAAAAGCAUACUGAAUGGAGCCAGAUUCCUGGCAAAAACGACACUGCGUCAACAUGGCGUAUGAUUAAUAAACUGCUCCCAUGCGGCAAGCCAUGCUUGUUGCCUCGAUUUUUCUCUUUUCCCCUAAG